rnacentral:rRNA from 1 species
CCUACGGGAGGCAGCAGUGGGGAAUAUUGGACAAUGGGGGAAACCCUGAUCCAGCGACGCCGCGUGAGUGAAGAAGUAUUUCGGUACGUAAAGCUCUAUCAGCAGGAAAGAAAAUGACGGUACCUGACUACGAAGCCCCGGCUAACUACGUGCCAGCAGCCGCGGUAACACGGAGGGGGCAAGCGUUAUCCGGAUUUACUGGGUGUAAAGGGAGCGUAGACGGCAGCGCAAGUCUGGAGUGAAAUGCCGGGGACCAACCCCGGAACUGCUCUGGAAACUGUGAGGCUGGAGUGCAGGAGAGGUAAGCGGAAUUCCUGGUGUAGCGGUGAAAUGCGUAGAUAUCGGGAGGAACACCGGCGGCGAAGGCGGCUUACUGGACUGUAACUGACGUUGAGGCACGAAGGCGUGGGGAGCGAACAGGAUUAGAUACCCCAGUAGUC